CCAUCAUGGUGUACAAUUGGCUUUUAUAAAUAAAGCGGAUAUAAAUGGUUUAAAAUAUACAGGAUUUUUCAAAAGUAAAUGUUGAGUCAUAGCCACGUUAGCAAUCGAUCUACGGUACAUGUACAUAAUAAUAAUUAAUUGUUUUCUUUGUAAGAAAAAGUGCAUGCAUUCAUAUCUGUAGUUUGUACAUGUACUGAGUGACUCGAGGAGUGAUUGUAUAUAGUGAUGUUUAUAGAUAUCAUUUCAAUCAUACUUUAACUGCAUGUGUGCAGCAAUCAUGAAAUUCUCAUAUAUGUUUGCCAUCGUGUACAGAGACGAGAUACAUUCGUUGUAUUCGGUGGAAGACUUUACUGUUGAGUAGUCUUCGUCGAUUCUUUUCAUUCAUAAUUUUUUCACAACCCGCAGAAAAUUAUUAUAAAUCUCGACGGCAAAUUUUGUGAGGACGAGAGAUGGAUGUUGAAUGCUCAUCAUACAUUCAAACUUCAACGCUAUUUCCUGUUGUUGAUUGUUUUUCAUGUUUUCAAGUUCGAAUAUUUACUCGUCAACUGACUUGCUCAUAUUGUAUCUUUGUUUUCUAUUUCGGAAUAGCUUGAUGAUAUCUCGUCGCAAAACUGUAUCAAUCUUGUCUUUCGUAGCACGAAUCUUUAAUAAGUUAGUUGCAAUUCAGGUGUGGUGGUGACGAUAUAUAUAUAUUGCAAUUCCAACGGUCUAUUCUUUUUAUCCAUUGUAUAUCAGUUUUAAGUUCGAAUCGAUGGCAAGCACUUCACGUUAUGAUGGAAAAUGCUGUUUAUAUUAGUACCCAUUGGCUUGUAUCGCGGUGCAACAUACAUGAUAAAAAUGUACAAGCUAUAUAUAAACGAAAUAUUCUUCACAAACAUGAAACUGGUUGUACAAAUCAAUGUUGGAGCAAAAUGCUGUGAUCUGACAAAACGGAAAAGGCCUGGGAUUAGUUGUAUAUGUGUGGGAAUAGAAAAAAUCACUCGAUAUAUUAUGACGUUUGAUGUCAUCGAUUCAUCAUAAUUUGUAAUCAGUGUUUUCUAUGCAUGCAUGAUGUCUCUAUUUUGUUGCAAUUUCCAGGUCUUUUCCCCCAUCAGGUCAGCAGGUUGUCAAACACAUUUGUAAAUCACAAUACCUAGACAUUUUUAUAAAGAUGGCAGCUGAUGUGGUCUUUGAAAACAAACAAGUCUUUCUUUAAAUUAAGAAGAAAUAAAAUAAAGGUACAUUAAAAUUAAUGUUUUCAAUACACCCUUUCGAUAAUUACGUCAAACUGAAUAUACUUUUUGGUCUUGGAGCCUCGCUCUUAUUAGUAAAUUACACAAGGUGAUUGGCUCGCGAUUCAUGAGACUGAGGCUCCCAGGCCAAAUAACCUAAUUAUUGAAAGGGUGUAUUCAAUCACUCACGGCGCUUGGUUUUGACCAAACUUGAAAUUAAAUUAAAGAAGUUCGAAUUGUAAAAGUUAAUUGCUUUUAACAGAAUUA